rnacentral:rRNA from 1 species
AACGAACGCUGGCGGCAUGCCUAAUACAUGCAAGUCGAACGAUCACUUCGGUGGUAGUGGCGCACGGGUGCGUAACGCGUGGGAAUCUGCCCUUGGGUUCGGAAUAACUUCUGGAAACGGAAGCUAAUACCGGAUGAUGACGUAAGUCCAAAGAUUUAUCGCCCAAGGAUGAGCCCGCGUAGGAUUAGCUAGUUGGUGGGGUAAAGGCUCACCAAGGCUACGAUCCUUAGCUGGUCUGAGAGGAUGAUCAGCCACACUGGGACUGAGACACGGCCCAGACUCCUACGGGAGGCAGCAGUAGGGAAUAUUGGACAAUGGGGGCAACCCUGAUCCAGCAAUGCCGCGUGAGCGAUGAAGGCCUUAGGGUUGUAAAGCUCUUUUACCCGAGAUGAUAAUGACAGUAUCGGGAGAAUAAGCCCCGGCUAACUCCGUGCCAGCCGCCGCGGUAA